rnacentral:rRNA from 1 species
GUGCCAGCCGCCGCGGUAAUACGAAGGGGGCUAGCGUUGCUCGGAAUUACUGGGCGUAAAGGGAGCGUAGGCGGAUAGUUUAGUCAGAGGUGAAAGCCCAGGGCUCAACCUUGGAAUUGCCUUUGAUACUGGCUAUCUUGAGUAUGGGAGAGGUGUGUGGAACUCCGAGUGUAGAGGUGAAAUUCGUAGAUAUUCGGAAGAACACCAGUGGCGAAGGCGACACACUGGCCCAUUACUGACGCUGAGGCUCGAAAGCGUGGGGAGCAAACAGGAUUAGAUACCCGCGUAGUCC